rnacentral:rRNA from 1 species
CGGUCUUGUACCCGUCCUAGAGCACCGAGAGCAUUCACGGAAUCGUAAACACUACAAAAGUGGCUUUUCUUCAGUUCAUGGUGUGGUGUUCAGGUUAAAACGGAACCUGUUAGACAACCGUCGAAAGUACUACAGAACCUGGGGUUAAAGCGGACGGUUGUGAAGUCUGUACAUCGUAGUGUUCAAUUGACCACCGACAGGUGGCCCGUGCUCGAUGCACCUGGUUCGGGGAGGUCAGUGCUGGUUUACUCCGGCACCGAAGGGGGCAAACGGGGUUUUAGACUCGACGAAAGUGAACGGCCCAUUGACCUGGAGGUGCAGUACCUAAAGGACUCUAAAGAUGCUCUUGGGUGCACCGGUCUAGGGUCGGCAGCCUUAGUCUGUCAAAGGUGGUCGUCUACGGGCAUUUUUGGUCGCGCUGCCUUAGAGGAGGUACCGUCCUAUUCCACGGAAGCAGGGCUUGUCGCACCAAGAAGGUAAGGGUCGGAGGUCAAGGGUAGCGCUUAGUACCGGUUUACGAUGAGGCUGACCGGAGGGGAGGGGGGAGAGGUAGGCAGCUCUUCUAGCAGCGGGUUGUGGAGGGAGACGUGCUAGUUCGCCGUCGAACGCAGGAAGCAGGACGUGACGAGGGCGAGGACGCGGAGGGGGCAAGAACUCGGGUUCUUGAACGGGCCGCUCGAGGUACAAAAAAGACGAGGCCGCGGCCGGUUCCGCCGCGGCCACAGAUGCGAAGGGCUGCGACGCUUCGAGCCGUAGAGGUUGUUCAAGUAGGCCCCGGAGACGUCGCUGGCCGUCUGGCUCGGCGAGCGGAAGCUCACGAUGGCCUCCCGAGACGUCGUCGGGCUCAAGGCCGGCCUGUUCUUCUGCUACUUACGCGAGUGGCAGGUCGACGAGGCCAGGUUCGUCACCUCGAGCGACCUCGUGGACCAGGUUCUAAAGUACCGGAUACCACACGAGGGCCUCUCUGCCUGCACGCGCGCCGAGCAGCGCUGGACGCAGUUCCGCUCCUUCAAGCCGGAGCGGCUGCACCACGAGCCCCAGGAGCUUCCCUUCUUCCCGGGCCGGCGGCGGCACACGAAGUCGAGGCGCGACGUCCGCAUGUUGUUCGACGUGUACAUGGCCUCGUGCCACGACGACAUGCUCGCCUACUUCCGCCGGACGGACAGCCACUUGCGGCUGCGGAUGGCGCGGCACUACCGCCGCAAGCCCCGCGACCCGCUCGGCCUGCGCCACCGGAGCGACAAGUUCGUCAUGUCCAGAGCCUUUACCAUGGGGAGGCUCUGGACGGAGCUCUGCAUGUGGUAGCGGACGCUGCGCGACCCCGCCCGUCCGUCUCGGGACCUGCGCGAGUUCACGGACGCCCUCUACCUCCGCCUGCCGUAGAGCGGCCUGCGGCGCUAGAUGAGGUGCCAGUAGCCGAGAGACCGCCUGCGGGCCCUCUGCCGCAGCAGCCUCCUGCACAUGGUGCUCCGUACCUUCUUCCCCUACGACGCUCUAGGUCUGUACAAGGACUUCCACUAGUAGUACGUUCAGCUCUGGCCCGAUGACCUCCUGUGCGAGCCGCACCGGUUCCUGUACUCCCUCUAGCCGGACUCCCAGUGGCUGACGCAGGAGAGGUGCCAGCAGUUGCCGAAGCACUUCUCCUCUCCGGACUUCGGUCGGUAGUCUCGCAUACUGUUCGACCACCGGUACCCUACGCUCGGGCCCGUCCAGUGGAUGCGCAGCCGCUAGUUGCACAUGACGGCCGACCCCGCCUCGCUGUCCCGCCUCAGGCAGAAGAGCCUCUACUAGCUGGCCCCGAAGCUGUUCACGCACCACCGCAUGCCGUUGUACUAGAGGUACAUGCCCGUCUAGUCCUCCCGCAGCCUGCGGUGGUCCGACGACCGCGACUACUUCGUCUUCCCCACGCUCGGGUUGCACACCCACAUGUUGAGCGAGGACCUGUACGCGCCGUUCGAGCCCCUGAGCUCCGUCCGGCUCUUCUAGACCUUCCUCUACUACGCCGCGUUCCACGUCGGGCUGGCCCACUCGAUGUGCCGGUAGCAGCCGCGCAAGUUGGCCAGCCCCCUCGACCUGGCCACGUACCUGAUGAUGGUCCUCAAGUCCCUCUGCCCUCCCUGCCACCUGUUCUGGGACCGGCCGGAGUACCACCCCCACAAGACGUUCUGGUCGGCCAAGUUGCUGGAGUAGGUCGACGACUCCCUGUACUUCGACGUCCCGUGGUUCGACCUGUCCGCCGACAUGUACUAGCAGGAGUUGUCGGAGGCUCUCCGGCCCGACCUCCAAGUACAGUCCACCGAGGUCCUAAUGAAGUUAAGGCACCUCCUCUUUUGGACUAAAGCGCGAGGUGCUCACGGACUACAAGUAGAAGUCGUAGCCUCGUACUCCUAAACCCACAGACCCCUUCCGUGACGAGACAUUUAAACUUCUUUUUAUCCAUUUAUAAACGAACGGAGGUACGAGGAACUUUGAUGCACGUACGAAGGGACUUAGUACCUCUUUAACUGUGACAUUUACAUAACAUCUUUUACCGUGGUAACAUGGUUUUACUAGACUAAGGUCUUAAGAGCCUAUUCGACAUAUCGACUUAUUAAGACGUAAGUACAGCCUAAGCUACUAUGAGAACAUGUCAACAUAAUAUCGGGGGCACCGCCUACAUUAUUGAACAUAGCUAUGACUUAAAGAGUGUAAACGAGUGUAACCCGAACAAUGCUAGAAGCCUAAAUUAAACGGGGAUCGAAACGUAGGUACCUCCGCCACUGGCCGUCACGAAACGGUCUGACGGUCACGCGUCGAGUUAGGCUGCCGAGACAGACGUACCGUAGGGGUAACUGUACCGGCACGACUGAUCGAAACGACGGAAACAGCAAGAUGAGGU